rnacentral:rRNA from 1 species
GACAGAGGUCCCAAGCGUUAGGCGGAAUCACUGGGCUUAAAGCGUGUGUAGGCGGAUCCGUAAGUACCUUGUGAAAUCCCACGGCUCAACCGUGGAACUGCUGGGUAUACUGCGGGUCUUGAGCCACCUAGGGGCGAGCGGAACAAGUGGUGGAGCGGUGAAAUGCGUAGAUAUCACUUGGAACGCCAAUGGUGAAAACAGCUCGCUGGGGGUGUGCUGACGCUGAGGAACGAAAGCUAGGGGAGCAAACAGG